CAAUAGCGUAUAUUAAAGUUGUUGCGGUUAAAAAGCUCGUAGUUGGAUUUCUGCCGAGGACGACCGGUCCGCCCUCUGGGUGUGUAUCUGGUUUGGCCUGGGCAUCUUCUUGGAGAACGUAGCUGCACUUGACUGUGUGGUGCGGUGUCCAGGACUUUUACUUUGAGGAAAUUAGAGUGUUUCAAGCAGGCACACGCCUUGAAUACAUUAGCAUGGAAUAAUAAGAUAGGACCUCGGUUCUAUUUUGUUGGUUUCUAGAGCUGAGGUAAUGAUUAAUAGGGAUAGUUGGGGGCAUUAGUAUUUAAUUGUCAGAGGUGAAAUUCUUGGAUUUAUGAAAGACUAACAUCUGCGAAAGCAUUUGCCAAGGAUGCUUUCAUUGA
rnacentral:rRNA from 1 species